rnacentral:rRNA from 1 species
UACGUAGGGGGCGAGCGUUGUCCGGAAUUACUGGGCGUAAAGGGCGCGUAGGCGGCCCGUUAAGUCCGCUGUGAAAGACCGAGGCUCAACCUCGGGGUGUCAGCGGAGACUGUCGGGCUGGAGUCUCGGAGAGAGAUGCGGAAUUCCUGGUGUAGCGGUGGAAUGCGUAGAGAUCAGGAGGAACACCGAUGGCGAAGGCAGCAUCCUGGCCGAGUACUGACGCUGAGGCGCGAAAGCGUGGGGAGCGAACGGG